GCCUGUGUCUCCAAGGCUAAAAAGGACUGAGCCUGCUGAGGAGAAGCAGUACCUGAUCUUUGGUGCAUCAUCCUUUCCUGAAUCCAGCCUGAAUGAAAGGCAUCUGAGGACUGACUACUCAUUAAUCUGGAUCAGAAUUACUCUCUGUAUCAUCUUACAGCACUUCAAUGGCGGCAGUGAAGCCCAAGACCUCUACUCUGUAGGUAAUUGAAACCCUUGGAGGAGGAACACUGGAGAGUCCCUCAAUGGAUGUCAGGACAGAAGAAGUGGACCAGGGACCCUCUGAAUGGUG